rnacentral:lncRNA from 1 species
AUCAAUAAGGUAAAAGCUCGGGCUGCCCCAUCCUUAACACGCACCAGGCCCUGGGCCCAGCUUGAGGGGAAGCCAAGCAAGAUCCCCCAAAACACACAGAAGCAACAAUUAACAAAGGAGUAGCAGAUCCCCAGUAUCUCUGCUCAGCCAUUUCAGAGCUGCAGGCCAGAUUCUAAGCAGUGCUGGAUUGAUUUUCUCUGCAACUCUUUUGAAAAUAGUCAAAACUUGCUAUUUGCAAAAAUGCACAUGAAAGAAGUCAUUGAAGGAACACUCAGAAUAUGGGUAGACUUCCUUACACUUAUUUUAAUAUUAAGUAUUAUUUUCAUUUGAGUUACAUAUAAGGCAGGAUUACAGAAUUUGCUAGGCCUUGAAUCUAAGGGAGACACUGCCAGCGGCCACACUAGUUUCUGCCACACUCAUUUUGGCCUUGUGUCCCCUCCUCCUCUGGCAGUUGUAACCUCUCCUCCCUCUUCCUUCAUGCAGCAGAAAGUAUUUCUCAGGACAAGUCUCUUUACUUUCCCAGAGGACAAUUCUAAAUCAGCUCAUAGAGAGUUAUAAAUGAAGCUUGCUAUUCUUAAAUCCCAGGCUCAUUGGCCUGAUACUUCUCAUUCAAGAAUGAGUGUCUGCUUUUAAAACAGCCUGUUGUUCUUCAAUGCCACUUCUGCAGACACCCCCUGCCCACUCCCCCACUGCCUUUGCCACAAAGUGUUAGAAUGACAGCAAGAAGGAAAAAAGCACAACCUAUGGGGAAAAGAGGGAGGGAGAAGUUUUCUUCUUCCCAAAACUAGUAAAGAAUAUCUCCCCAUAUAAUAGUUACAGGGACCCUAUUUGUAAGGAGAAAACUGGAGGCUAUCAUAGAGUACCCUAAACUUCGCUUGUACAUGGAGACAUUUCUGCAUGUAACAAGAGCUAGUUAAUAAAAGUACUGUAAUCUGAGAGAGAAAGGGUUAUCAUCCAGCCAGCUGAAGCGUGGGGUAGGGGUGGGAUUGGGGGGCAGGCUCACUUUCCUCAAUUGCAAAAUAAGGGUACUGAAAUACAUGCAAGGAAAGGGGCCUCUUCUGGUGCUGAAAUUCAUGUACCGCAAUCAGUUUAUCCUAUACUUACUUUGAGAGCUUGCUAACAAUCUUUUUUCUGAGGGGGAAGUGAGGAGCACAAGAAAAGCUGACAACAGGACUCAGUCUGAACGAGAAGGGUCAUUCUGCAGGAGGACAGCGAUGCCAGUUUAAGCAUCCAGCAGGCCACCUCAUUCUUGGUCUUCUGCUCCAUGCCAGUCACAGCCAUUUGUGAAUGGUGAUGGUUCUGAUUUACCAUAUAUCCUCCCCCUCCCAUAUUUUCAAAAUGAAUGACUUGAAGGUGUGUGCUGGUGGUUGGCAGGAGGAUCUAGAAAGUUCCUGUGAUGCGUUACACCUAUCUAGCGGGAUUAGAGAGGCAGAGCACAUCAGGGGAAUGGAAAGGAAUGAGGACAAUAUACAGCUUCUAGGGAGUAAUUUGAUAGUACAGAAAAUGCUGUGGCCCUGGAUGGGGGAUUUGUAGAACAAAGUAGCUAGAGGAAGAGGAGAUGAAGAGGAGAUGAAAUGAUCCUCUGGGGAUAGAGGAAAAUAAGACACUGUCCUUUGAGUAUACAGAGCAUAAGAAGGCUUUAUACAAAACACAAACAAUGCUUCUUUUUUCAUAAGUCUAUCUUGAGCAUUUCCUUUUAUGCCGCAGAAUACAAACCUGGGAGAUCCCUCUAAGCUAAUUGGUCACUGCAGGGUAAACGUCAGUUUGAAAAGUAUUCUUUGGCUAAUUGCCUGAGGAUACAGUCAUCCUGGUUGGAAUACUGCUGAUUCAGUUAGGUUUCCCUUCCUGUGAAACCCACAUCUACUCCGAUCCUCACACCCCUUACAAAUGGUGCCUUCCUUACAUAUCUUUUCACAGCAUGGAAACAAAGAAGAGACAGAUGGGGACAAAAGCUGGAAGGAAAGGGUAGCAUGAUGAAAAAUGAGAAACUCUCCAAAAUGAAGAGUGGGCCCUUCAUGAAGUAAUUGUGCAUGGUGCCUCCAAGGCAACUGGCAUCUUAGAAAAAUGAGUUGAGGAGGGGGUCAGAGGUGGCGGCCUGAAUUUCUCAGACACUGGCCCCAUCACAGGGUCAAAUUCUCACAAAGAAGAAUUAUUCUCAAUGUCCUUGGUGUGCUGAGGGCUUUGGGGUGGGCACACACACACACACCUUUUGGCAUCAAAGGUAUUUUAAAUUUUCCCUUAGCUCAUUCUCUUCAAAUACACUCUUAAGUGGAAAAGUGAAAGCAAAGAAAUUUUCCAACUAUUGGAAUUGGAUCCAUGUUCCUCUUUCAUAAAAAUCUAUUGUUUUCUCUUCUCUCCUGUCUCUUUUUUAAUUAAGUAAAAAACAGAAGGCCCCAUCAGUGUCCCACCACAAGCCACCCAGCAGCAGCUUUCAGCUCUGAGACGCUAGGCACUUGGGGGACCUUUUGCAGGGGAGGAUGCCAUAUGUGCUCUCAUCUUCCCAGGACAUCAGCUGACUUGAUGAUAGUAUCUAGGAGGGCUGUCUCAGAGGGUGUGGAGAGGUACCACUCCCAUCCACUUCCCAUCGACCCAGACAGUAGUGCCGUGCAGCUGAAGACCAGAGAGCAUACUUUCCAGGGACAAUUAAAUACAGGCUUUUGUACCAAGGGUUCUGCUUGUUCCCUGAGGAAGCAGGCUCUUUGAAUCUUGGACCGCAUUUAAAAUAAAUCUCCAGCAGAACUCAAAUUCACUUAGCAAAUGAUAGCUUAUUCUGAACAUUUUGGCCCAAAACAGGCUACGUAUGAAAACGAGAGGAGGAUCUUAAAUCAAAGCUGUGUUCAAGUGACUACACAGAUAAACAGUUCCGAUUGCUGUUUUCCUUCCUGGUUACCAUCAGAGGUGUAUGAUUUUUGCUAACUCAUAUACAUGUGAAAAAGUAGUCCCAUAGGUUGAGAGGAAGGCAGUUUAGGAGGAACAUAGAAGAAGGGGGAAAAGUUACCAUCCUCAUAGAAUUUUUCAAAAGUAUUUAAGUUCCCUUACAAUAUCAACACACGGGAGAAUAAAUCUACCACACUCCCAGUUAACUACAUAAGACAGCCCACAGUCAGGGAAAACUCCUGUGUUCCUGAAGCUUAACUCUUAGAUUCAGAUCCCAGUAUAUACAUUAGCACAUUUUAAUCAUUAACAGAAAGGACAAAGCCCCAUGAAACUUUGCAGGCUGAGGCUACAGGCCAUUCUCCCAUUCAGUCAGAGGAACAGCUUCCAGUCUUGUAUUAUUUUAGUUUAUAAAACCACUUGGCUCAAACAUCCCCUGACAACUCUUUUUUGUUCUCAAUGAAUGUAAUUUUCGGGGUUUUUUUUUUAAUAAAAAAUGCAUUUUAUCCAUCUGUGAUGGACAUUAAGCCAACUUUUCUCUUCAGUCAGUAUAGACAGUUAAUUGCCUUGAUAAAUUGCUUCUUACUUUGGGAGUCACUGCAGUCAUAUUAAUUAUAAGGGCUUUUUUGCAUAAAAGUAGAGAAACCUAAAAUAUUCACACUAGAAAACAUACAUUGGACCACAUCUGUCAAAUAGUAUCCUAUACUAUUUAAACAAAAGCAGAGGCAAACAAACAGAUUUUUUAAAAUCUUUGCCUUUAGCCCAUUUGAAAUGCUAUCUCUUUGAAUGGGGAAGUAAGACAUUCAACAACGUAUUUAAAAUGAAGAAUCGGACUGUGAGCAAUACUCUUAAUUUUUUUUUCAAGUUCCUAGGUUGACAUCCCAAGCAUGUGCUUUUAUUAUAUCAAUUGCUGACAUCACAAACAUAAAUUGGAUCACUUUUAAUUAAAAUUCUUUCUGGGACUAAAAAUAAAGCUUUUAACGUCUAUAUCUUUAUAGCCUCAGGAAAUAGUUCUAUUAGGAAAAUUAAAACUUUGUUCACUUUCAAUAUAUCCAGGAUUCUAAAAGACGGCAACUUUUAGUUCGAUGCUCGGGCCGUUUCAAUUGUGGCUUAAAAAACUAACAGGCAAGAGAGUUUCGACGUUUAAAAGCAUAUACAUGACUUGCUUCCCCCACCUACUCUUAAGAAACCAAAAUAAGUGUUCUGCUUCUAUUUUAAACAAAAUGCUUUAUAGAAAAAUUAAGUGUUUGCAAAAAUGAAGGUGUCUGUGAUACUUGCCUCCUGAUUUGAUUAAAAUCCAAAACUUAUCAUCAGGUGUAGGGACAGGAAUUAACAUCAUUUGCUAUAAUGACAAAAAUGCCCAAGCCACCACCCGAGCUGGAAGGCAUCCUCCUUCAUGCUUUCUAUCAAGCAUGAAGUAAAUGCUAAGGAUUUCUUCUAGGAAAAAAAGUUAAUGUUUUAAAAAAAUAUUUUAAAUGUUUUCCUACCUAUCUGCAUCACCCUGCCAAAAACAGAGGUGUUAUCCACAGUGCUGCAGUUCCACCUUCGAUGUCGGAAUUGAUACUGGCAUUCUUUGAUGCCUGUCUUCGCGCCUUCUCCGAUGUACUGCAUGUGGUCCUGAUACAAGUGGCACAGUUUCUUCUGUCCUUGAGAAAGUCCUGCCAGUUGGCUGCAGAGAGGCUGUGCUCCUAUAAUAUAUACUUCUGACAUCUGAACAGGGUUAUUCAUACCUAGCGACCUGCAAGGGGGGGAGAUGUGCAUUCAAGAUUUACGUGAAAUCUCGAGGUGGGCCCCCUGAAAGCAUGUCAGCAAUACAUAGUUUUAAGCACACAGAUGCUUUUUUCUCUCCUGCUUGUCCUCAUGACAAAGUAUGAGAAGGGCUUCAUAAAACUCCUCUGUUUAAACUGCACUCAGAAAACGGAGGUAUUGUGCAGUCCCCAUCCUGCCAUCUGGCUCCUCAGUUAGUAUUUUCACUCCCUUCCUAGCCCCUGUCACCAUAUACCUGAACCAGUAUUUCCAAAAUCCACUCAGAAAAGGAGGAAACAGCAGUUUGAGGGACAGGCCUCUGACAUUAGAGAAAGUGACCCACUUUGCCCCACAAAUUGGACCAAUCUGCCUUGAAAACUUAUGAAUGCUGAAAGUAGACACAAUUAGAUACGGGUAGGAGAUAGCAGUUCCUUUUGACUGAUGGAAGAACAGAGGGACAAGUAUACAGACUGGAGAAAAUUCACCAUGUUUCUUGACAUUUUAAAAGGGCUCCUUAUGUGAUUGUGAGGGACCCAAGACAGGGUACCCAGUGAACAGAAGUCAUGUUUGACAGUCAGAAAAAUGCUGUUCAUUUACAGGGAAAAAAAUACCCAGAAUGCCG